UUUAGAAUUGGGAGCAAUUCCUUUCUGAAAUCUCAAGAGUGAAUAUAGCAUCGAAGGGCUAUAUUCACAGGACAAAGUAUCAUCCCUUGGUAGGAAGUCAGUGAUGCAUUUCAUCUGAAAAUACUGGCAGUUAACAAGACAGCAAAAGCUGUCCGUGGUAUUCUCAGGAUUCUUCUCCAUCCCCAAAAUUUACUCUGAGGGAGUUGCUGAUUCAUGGAUUAAUUAGAUUUCAGAACUAAUUGAAUUACCUGUUAGAAAUAGCCAAGACUAUUGUGUUAUAACACCUUUUUAAAUUAUGUAUUUGAUGUGUUUUUAA